CAGCUCGUGCUGCUAAGGAGGGUGGCCACUAUGUCCCAUGCAGACUGGCUCAACUGUGUGACCAGGGCAUGGCCAUGCUGUUUGUUUUGGACUUGGUUGCCAGGGAACCCUGAUCUGGGCUGUGAAGGGCAGAAACAGAGGUGAGGAAGAUGAUAGCAAAGCAGUCUCACCCCAUACCUGCACCAAGGGCACUGAGCUCUUAGCCAGGCUGCUGGUGAGACUGUUUGAAGGUACAUACUUAUCCUGGUCAAGAAGGUUUUUCUUCACCCUUUCACUACACAGAGGCUGCAGGUUGUCACAGCCUGAAAUGCUGUGCAACCACAGAAGCUACUGAGGAGAAGAUGAAAAGGUGGUAUGAAAUGGAUACAGCAGUGGGGAAAAGCAGGUCAUCUGAAUGGCAGAAAUCAGAACACUGGCCACAGGACCCAAAGCCAAAAGAGAAAUACCUGCUUCCUUAUGCCAUGAGGGGCAUUAAUAUUAGAGUGACAAACAAUUCUUCUUCUGCAUUGCUGAGGAAAGAUUCAUUUGGAGAACUCAGGCCCUUUGGUUGGGGUACUGACUUUCC